UACGGAGGGUGCAAGCGUUGUCCGGAUUUAUUGGGUUUAAAGGGUGCGUAGGCGGUACGCUAAGUCAGUGGUGAAAUCCUGGGGCUCAACCCCGGAAUUGCCAUAGAUACUGGCGUGCUUGAGUUCGACCGAGGCGGUUGGAAUGCGUGGUGUAGCGGUGAAAUGCUUAGAUAUCACGCGGAACACCGAUUGCGAAGGCAGAUCGCUAGGUCGCGACUGACGCUGAGGCACGAAAGUGCGGGGAUCAAACAGG
rnacentral:rRNA from 1 species